rnacentral:lncRNA from 1 species
CAAUUCAACCUGAUCUGUACUAGUCUUGCACUGAUUUAUGGCUGCUGCUUUGUGGGGUUUUUUUUAUUUACUUUGCUAAUCUUUUCCCAGGUAACUUGACUUUGAUGUGGAUUAGCUUUGAGGAAGAAUGCCAUAUUCCACCCCUGGAAAACCACAAAUAAAAGUGGGCAUUUGCCAAACACCUGACACUUCUACUGCCUAUUCACUCUUUUGCUGGUGUGACACAUGGAGAUCUAAGGACUGAGUAGGCUGGUGUUAUUAGCUGGGCAUCUUAUUCCCAGCGGAUGGCACCCGUAACAUUGGCAGCUCAUCCACUUUCCCCGGGACCAUGAUGACUGUACACAGCAGCCUUCCAGGUUUUGGACAAUCGCACACUAAUCCAUCUGGGAGACGGGUCCAGCAGCUCUGGCUCAUCCUUUGGACAAGGACCAUGGGGCUCUGGUUUCCUGCCAUCCCCGUAACCUGAUCUCCAGCUUUGGACAAGCAAGGUAAAGCACAGCAGCCGAUGUGGGAACAUGAACUGCCCCCAAAGGUCUCCCCAUACCCAUGCUGAUGCCCCAUGGUAGAGCGAGUUGAGGUAAAGUCAUUCAGUGUUUCCCCUCCAUACUUAAACAGAAAUAGCUGCUCAUAAAUAUAACCAAGUAGGGAGAAAAUAUCUGGAGGCAAACUCACAGCUCAUUACAGGUCCUGUGCUGGAAAUGUUUGUAUUAUGUUGCCAAUAAAGUAUAAUAUUGGUAGGUUAGCUAGAGGCA